CAUUGCAAUAUUUCGAGGAAACCCCGAGGACUGACAACCAGAAAAGUGAAAACCUUACGAUGACCCAGUCACAGUUCACCAGGAAGCGGAGAGCUAUGAACCACCCAUUGUGAUAAUAACCUGGUGUUUCCCUGGCAACCAGAGGGGCAGAUCUACCAACACAUACAGGUGUUUUUUAGGUUUCCUUAAAAGUAUAUUCGGCUGGAAAUGGGGAAUCAGCAUUGUGAGCUAGCCGGAGUGCCAGGGAUGUUCCUGUGAUGAUGAAAGAAGAAAUAAAAAGAGGAAAGAAGCUGCUCUAGACAUUCAGAUUCGAGGAUGCACUGCACACUGGCUCUGUAGGAGUAGUGGGUCCAGGGAACCCCCUGAAACGGGCAAUACCAGCUCCAUGGCAACACUGGCCUCCAUCACGCGCCAGAGCCGUGCCUGUGCACGUUUAGGAGAAAAGGAGUAACAGAGCAGAGGUUGUUAAUUGAUGUAUUUUUCAAAAUGUUUCAUUUUGCACUGACAUAACUCCUCUACGUCCUUCAUCUUCAGCCGGUAACCAGUGCCACUCAUACAUUUAAGCUUUUUCUUCGGUCUCUGACUUUUUUUCUCUCGCUCUUUUCUCCUUGGGUAUCUGGGUCUGAGGCUUUUGCCGACCGAUGUAAAGAGAGGGCCGGAGGUUGAGAGAGUCAGCCAAUUAGAGUGUAGGCUCAGCGGCGUGCCAGCAGUGCUUCCUCAUCUGGCUCUCAGCGGCCAAGUCAGACCCUCGUAAGGGAUUCAAAUGCAAUUAGACAUUUUAAACAUUGCUACCAUACUCUACAGUCAUCUCUUGACAGCAGCACGACUUCAGGCCCUUAAACGUCGGGAGGGGAAGACGCUGAAAGUGAGCUUCUUCCACAAAAUGCAUUAUGGAUCGAUCCUGGCUUGCUGUGACCCGGAGUAAGAAUGAAU
ensembl:lncRNA